CAUGAUUACAGUAAUCUCAACCCACCACCCCGCUGCUACAGACUCCCUUCACACAUACAUACAUGCAAACCUACACACACACACACACACACACGGUCCCUGGGUCUUGUCGUAAGCAAAUGGACAAAGGCAAUUUGAGAGGCUCCUCAGCUCUGCAGGAUGCUGGGCAAUUUAAAGACGGGGAUGAGAAGGAGAGAGGGACCAGACGAGGGUGAACACAAAAGAAAAUGAGAGGAGAUGAGACCCCCCCUCCCAAAAAAAUAAUUACUGUUUUUUUUAAGCCAAGAAGAGGUGGAAUCAUUUCAGAGCUCACGUGUAUGACCAGUAAGCAUGUUACUACUGUGCAGGCUGGAGUGUGUGGGGAGAAAAAGCUUUGCUGAUUAUAAAAUGUGUGUCUCUGACUCCAUGUUGUGAUUGUGUUUGAUCCUUGUGUGUUUUUUCUACAAAUUUGCACUGCAUUUUUCCUUUCCUUCAUUUGUUCCCUCUGUCUGCAUCUAUCCUGCUCUCUGUUUUUGUUCUUUCUCAUCCUACCUUCCUGUCUCUGAGUUUCUCCUCUUUUCUUUGCCCAUCAUUUGUUUUCUAAAAGUUUUUUCCCCCCUCUUGCUUUCUUAUCUCCUCGGGUGUCCUUGUUCAUACUCCUCUUUUACUUGUUUCCCUUUGUUGUCUUUUGUUAUUAUUUUUUCUUUUAUUGUCAACUCUUUUAUUUUCUGCUGUUCCUUUUUUUUGCUUCCUUUACUUUUUUCCUCCUCUCCUCAGUUGUCUUUUUCCAUUUUUCAUUCAUAGCCCUUUCUUUUCUUUUCCUGAUUUGCUUUCCUUUCACAUUUGUUCCUAGUUUCCUUCCCUCACACCCUUGGCCCUUGUAUUCUCUGGUCAUUUCCCUUUUCCCCCUUUCCUCAUCUCCCCAUUUCCCAUCCAGCUCCCUUCUUAUAGUCUCUUCCUCCUCUCCUUUUCACUUGCCUCCUGCCUCCUCUCCUGUGUUCUUUUCUUCCUCUCCUCUCCAUCUGUUAGUCUUUGUCUAUCCCGAGGCACAGAGUCAGGAACUCCUCUCCUCAGUGGGCUGAUGAGGAUGUGGGGUGACAUCCACCUUUCUCUCUUUUUUCGGCAGAGUGAGUAGAAACAGAGGUGGGUCUCAUUGGAGGCCUGUAUAUAUGUACGGCUGGGUGGCAAACCUCAUGUUGUAUACAUAUUUGUUCAAACAUGUGCGAGCUGCUCAGUAAUCCUCUCCACUUGGUUCACCCUCCCACACGUGUAUAUAAACAUGCAAGCCUCUGCCCAUCUCAGCUACUAUGGGGGAGAUGUGAUAGGUGAGCUUAACAAAAAGGGGGAUGUGGAACAAGAGAAGGGUCCAUGCACAGCUUCUGCCAGAUGCCUUUUGUAAAUAAGCAGGGAGCCCUUAGAGGGGCGCCGUCGGGCGCCCUGAGUCACCCGUCCCACAGGAUGCAAUCAGGGUGUCCCCGCCCCCUGCCGUGUAUAAGGGGUAAGGAAGGGAGAGGGUCUGGUCUCUGUGUUCCUGGUGCUGACACAGAGGAGCUGUGGGUCUAAUUCAUUAAACCAGCCUUCUAAUAUAAACAGCCAUUCAUUUCACUGCCUGACACUGGGCCGUCUGGACAAUGUGAAGAGCCCCAAUAGAACUGCCAUACAGAACUGUUUGUGUGUGUGAGAGGGAGCGAGCGGUCGGGCUGGGCUGUUUGUGUGUACGAAGUCUCGGAAAGCCUGUCGGUCUCGAGCAGGUACAGUGAAGCUAACCAGAGGCUUUCGUGAGCCUCGACACGGUUCGCUGAGCAACUGAAGUGAACAUCACAUUUUGUAAAAACAAGAAAAAAACCCACACAAAUGCAAAUCCAGUCAAGUCCUGAAGUCUGUGGAUAUUUUAGGACAUCUAUCAGUUAAACUAAAAAUGAUUUGCAGCUGGGAGGGUAAAUUGUUAAGCAUAGUAAGCAUUUACAAAAGAAACUACAGUUUAAACAAAACAAGCUAAACACACUAAAAAUGUUACUAUUUAAUUUGGUUUGAAACAAGGGCCGUCACUACAGCCUGUGAUUCCUGCAGCAAUGGUUCUGCCUAAUGUGUGUCAGUUAGGAAUGCAAUGCAGCUUUCUGACUGCUUAAUCAUAAUCGUAUAAAUAUGUUUGUCCCUCCACCUCUCUGUUCCUGUGAAAGAAAAGGACAAAUGAUGAUUAUGAUUACAUUGACACUCAAUAAUCAAAAAUGUAAGAACUCAUGCUUUCUCUGUUCAUGUUUAACUUGAACUCAACAUGUAGUAAGUAUAACUUCUUAAAUAACCCUCGGCGAGCAGAGUGGACAAACUACGAGACAAACUUCCAUAUGUUUCUGUUUUUUAAAUCCUGAUUCUUUAGUUUAAGUUAACUUGUAAAAAAUAAAUAAAUAGACUAACUCAUCUAUGCACAAACACAGUUUUCCCAUCUCCCACGAGGCCAAAUUGGUUAGAUCAACCCCGCAUUCACUGCGCACACUUGGCUCCAUAUCUGCUUUUGUUCCACUGCGAUAAAGUGAAAUGUUCUUCUUUUGUUAAUCUGAGAGAAAUGAACCAGAGAAUAAGCUCUUAAAGACCCACACACAGCCAGACAGUGUCCGAAAACUAGUCCAGUGGACAAAUAUUCUUUGGGGUACUGGUGUACAAUCAUAAGGAAAGAGCCCUGUUUUCCUCUGGACUGUAUAUUCCUUGAAGUAAGGCGCGUAGCAAAGAAAAUGUAAUGCAUUAAAUUGUUCACACAUCUCCUUGUGUUUUAGCUUUAGGUGGCAGAUGGAUUCCCACUGACCCACAGACUAGCCAGUUGUUUUUCAGGGACACGUUGACAGUAAGCACAGCCAUCAUCAACAGACAGACAGGGUGAACACACCCACUGACACUGAUACUGAAUCUGGAAUGUGGGUUUUAUGGGCUUACAAAUAAACACACACACACACACACAGUAUAUGUGCACACACAUUUUCAUACACGCCCAUCCAUCCAAGCAUGCAAGCAUCCACCCACCCACACAUACAAACACACAAGCACCUAGGUAUCUGUGACCACUAAUUGUGUCUGGCCAGUGCCGUCCCCAGCAGCUAGGGUCAUGGGAGCGCUGGGUAGCCAUUGCGGUAGCCUUUUAAACAUAGCUUAUCCUGAGGCCUGUUAUUACCCUGAGAAACUAUCAUCUUUUUCUCCUCAAAACCAUCCUGCUCAGUCAAUUUAAUGAACCAGGCAUUCCAACAAAGGGAAAUGAGCAACAGCUCCCACAGUCCCAUGCUGCACCAGCAAUUAAUGGUUCAAGACAACAACCUCUGGGACAGAGAGAGGGCUUUUCUUCCAGCAAAUAGGUUUGUCCUUAUUUUAAAGAAAAAAGUAAUAUAACAGGUAAGCUUAUUGUGCAAUUUCUGACAAAUAUUUGUAUUAAUGUCGAGAAGUAUUUAAUUCUACUACAAAGUAACAAUAGCUCUGAAGUCACAACAUUACCCAGUGGUGUUUCAGUAUUUUGAACAUUGUCAUCUUGGACUUUUUAACCUGACAUCACAAGCUACAUAAUAGCUCAUUCACACUAGAGUAAAACUGGGAUGGCAUCCAUUUGCAAGUAGUUGAAGUGACUGCUGGGUUUUAACAUCAAGAUCCAACUCGGACUGACUGCAAUCACUCUCAGAUAGAUUGGCAAAGGUUUGCAUGUAACUGGUGUCUAAUUUAUAAAUGUAUCAUCCUCUCUUUGCAACAUCGGGCUUAACUUGGCUGCCCUUUGAGUGUAUUCUGGUUAUAAUACUAUAACCUCCUAAGACCCGAACUCUUCCACAGCAUGCAUUUUUAAUUUCUCUUUGAUAUUUGGGCUGAUUGCGGCCCGAUGAAUGUAAAUACAAGGAAUUACCUGAUUAUUAUUAUUAUUUUUUACCUUAUUUGUGUUUUUAAGAAAAAUAAAAGCCACAUAUGAGGAUAUUCGUUUAAAAUGUUGAUAGAACAGUAGCAGUAUAAUGUCCUCGUAAGUGGAUAUCAGGCCCUUAUAGAGCAAAAUUUAGUAUUUUGGUCUAAAUAACCCAAAUGUGAUGUCCACAUAUGUGGACGCCAGGUCCUAGGAGGGUACAAAUGCAAAGUUACAAAGUGACUGUUAAUAUUGCCAUUGAAUUGCAGAGAAUCACAGAACCCGAAUGCUGUUCCUGUACCAACUCAGCUGUGGGCCUUAGGCUCCAAGAGGACUGGACAACUUUGGCUUCAACUGAGAAACAUGAAAGAUGGCCUGACUCAGCAGGUGGGGGUAAACGCUGUUUCUGAGUUUUCGCCCAAGCAGUGCAGAAAUGUCUCCGCUACGCUCCAGAUCACAUGGUUGGUGCAGGAUGCCCGAUAUCCAGCUCCAUCCCCGAGUAAAUUAAAAAAAAACAAGUGACCUG
ensembl:lncRNA